rnacentral:rRNA from 1 species
UACAGAGGGGGCAAGCGUUAUUCGGAAUUAUUGGGCGUAAAGGGCGCGUAGGCGGCUUUGCAAGUGACGGGUGAAAUCCCUCGGCUUAACCGAGGAACUGCCUGUCAAACUGCAUGGCUUGAGACCGGGAGAGGUGAGUGGAAUUCCCAGUGUAGCGGUGAAAUGCGUAGAUAUCUGGAGGAAUACCGGUGGCGAAGGCGGCAUCCUGGACCGGCAUUGACGCUGAGGAGCGAAAGCCAGGGGAGCAAACGGG